rnacentral:rRNA from 1 species
UAGGGAAUAUUGGACAAUGGGGGCAACCCUGAUCCAGCCAUGCCGCGUGAGUGAAGAAGGCCCUCGGGUUGUAACGCUCUUUUGUCCGGAAAGAAAAGCUUCGGGUUAAUACCCCGGGGUUCUGACGGUACCGGAAGAAUAAGCACCGGCUAACUUCGUGCCAGCAGCCGCGGUAAUACGAAGGGUGCAAGCGUUACUCGGAAUUACUGGGCGUAAAGCGUGCGUAGGUGGUUGUUUAAGUCUGAUGUGAAAGCCCUGGGCUCAACCUGGGAAUGGCAUUGGAGACUGGGCAGCUAGAGUGCGGUAGAGGGUAGUGGAAUUCCCGGUGUAGCAGUGAAAUGCGUAGAGAUCGGGAGGAACAUCUGUGGCGAAGGCGACUGCCUGGACCAGCACUGACACUGAGGCACGAAAGCGUGGGGAGCAAACA